GACGAACGCUGGCGGCGUGCUUAACACAUGCAAGUCGAACGAAGAGGGAUGGCUGUUUGCUUCUAUCAAACUUAGUGGCGAAUGGGUGAGUAAUGCGUAACCUACCCGCCCUUCUGAGGGGGCCAACAGUAGGAAACGACUGCUAAUACUGCAUACGAUCUAACCACGGCAUCGAGGAGGGAUGUAAGGCGGUUUCUAUUUAUAAGCUAUCACUGCAGGAGGGGAGUGCGUUUGAUUAGUUAGUUGGCGGGGUAACGGCCCCCCGAGGGGAUGAUCAGUAGCCGGUCAGGGAGGGUGAGCGGCCACAUUGGGACUGGGACACGGCCCAGACUCCUACGGGAGGCAGCAGUGGGGAAUCUUCCGCGAAGGACGGGAGACUGACGGAGCAACGCCGCGUGAGUGAUGACGGCCUUCGGGUUGUGAAACUCUGUUAUUCGGGACGAAAGGCCUUCUUGCGAGUAAUUAGAAGGAUUGACGGUACCUGAAUAAAGAGCCACGGCUAACUACGGG
rnacentral:rRNA from 1 species